AUACGUAGGUGACAAGCGUUAUCCGGAUUUACUGGGCGUAAAGGGCGUGUAGGCGGUCUUGCAAGUCAGAAGUGAAAUUCCUGAGCUCAACUCGGGCGCUGCUUCUGAAACUGCAGGACUUGAGUGCUGGAGGGGAUAGCGGAAUUCCUAGUGGAGCGGUAAAAUGCGCAAAUAUUAGGAAGAACACCGGUGGCGAAGGCGGCUUUCUGGACAGUAACUGACCCUGAGGCGCAAAAGCGUGGGAAGCAAACAGGAUUAGAUACCCGGGUAGUCCACGCCGUAAACGAUGAAUACUAGGUGUAGGGGGUAUCGACUCCCUCUGUGCCGCAGUUAACCCAAUAAGUAUUCCGCCUGGGGAGUACGGCCGCAAGGUUGAGACUCAAAGGAAUUGGCGGGG
rnacentral:rRNA from 1 species